UACGUAGGUGGCAAGCGUUAUCCGGAUUCACUGGGUUUAAAGGGUGCGUAGGCGGAUAGGUAAGUCCGUGGUGAAAAUCCUGCAGCUUAACUGCAGAACUGCCGUGGAUACUAUCUAUCUUGAAUGUCGUGGAGGUUAGCGGAAUAUGUCAUGUAGCGGUGAAAUGCUUAGAUAUGACAUAGAACACCCAUUGCGAAGGCAGCUAACUACGCGAUAAUUGACGCUGAUGCACGAAAGCGUGGGGAUCGAAACAGG
rnacentral:rRNA from 1 species